GGAUUUGUCAGUUGGUCGGGCUUCACUGUCCGUACUGACUUGAUGGAUUCUUACCUUCUGAAUAACCAGCAUGCUAUUUAGUUAGUGCGUUGGGGAAGCAGAUCUAUUACCUUGAAAAAAUUAGAGUGCUUAAAGCGGGCUAGUGCUUGAAUAGAUUAGCAUGGAAUAAUAAAAUAGGACGGCAUGGUUCUAUUUUGUUGGUUUCUAGGAUCACCGUA
rnacentral:rRNA from 1 species